CCUACGGGAGGCAGCAGUGGGGAAUAUUGGGCAAUGGGGGGAACCCUGACCCAGCGACGCCGCGUGGGUGAAGAAAUCCUUCGGGAUGUAAAGCCCUGUUGUAUGGGAAGAGCGGAAGACGGUACCAUACGAGGAAGCCCCGGCAAACUACGUGCCAGCAGCCGCGGUAAU
rnacentral:rRNA from 1 species